rnacentral:rRNA from 1 species
UUAAGCAUAUCAAUAAGCGGAGGAAAAGAAACCAACAGGGAUUGCCCCUAGUAACGGCGAGUGAAGCGGCAACAGCUCAAAUUUGAAAUCUGGCCCUUGGGUCCGAAUUGUAAUUUGUAGAGGAUGAUUUUGGUGCGGUAUCUUCCGAGUUCCUUGGAACAGGACGCCUUAGAGGGUGAGAGCCCCGUACGGUUGAAUGCCUAGCCUCUGUAAAUCUCCUUCGACGAGUCGAGUAGUUUGGGAAUGCUGCUCUAAAUGGGAGGUAAAUUUCUUCUAAAGCUAAAUACUGGCCAGAGACCGAUAGCGCACAAGUAGAGUGAUCGAAAGAUGAAAAGCACUUUGAAAAGAGGGUUAAAUAGCACGUGAAAUUGUUGAAAGGGAAGGAUUUAUGACCAGACUUUUUCUGGGCGGAUCAUCCGGUGUUCUCACCGGUGCACUUUGCCCAGUUUAGGCCAGCAUCGAUUUUCGGAGAGGGAUAAAAGCUUUGGGAAUGUGGCUCCUCCGGGAGUGUUAUAGCCCAUUGUAUAAUACCUUUCUGGGGAUCGAGGUACGCGCUUCUGCAAGGAUGCUGGCGUAAUGGUUAUCAAUCACCCGUCUUGAAACACGGACCAAGGAGUCGAACAUUUGUGCAAGUGUUUGGGUGUUAAACCCUCACGCGUAAUGAAAGUGAACGGAGGUGAGAGCCCUUACGGGUGCAUCAUCGACCGAUCCUGAAGUUUUCGGAUGGAUUUGAGUAAGAGCAUAACUGUUCGGACCCGAAAGAUGGUGAACUAUGCGUGGAUAGGGUGAAGCCAGAGGAAACUCUGGUGGAGGCUCGCAGCGGUUCUGACGUGCAAAUCGAUCGUCAAAUCUGCGCAUGGGGGCGAAAGACUAAUCGAACCAUCUAGUAGCUGGUUACCGCCG